rnacentral:rRNA from 1 species
GACGAACGCUGGCGGCGCGCUUAACACAUGCAAGUCGAACGGAAAGGCCUGCUUUCCCUUGUGGAUUGCGGGUACUCGAGUGGCGAACGGGUGAGUAACACGUGAGUGAUCUGCCCCCAACUUGGGUAUAAGCCUGGGAAACUGGGUCUAAUUCCCGAUAGGACUGCAGGGUGGUGCCUGUGGUGGAAAACGAUUUUCUAGUGGUUGGGGAUGAGCUCGCGGCCUAUCAGCUUGUUGGUGGGGUAAUGGCCUACCAAGGCGGCGACGGGUAGCCGGCCUGAGAGGGUGGACGGCCACAUUGGGACUGAGAUACGGCCCAGACUCCUACGGGAGGCAGCAGUGGGGAAUAUUGCACAAUGGGCGGAAGCCUGAUGCAGCGACGCCGCGUGGGGGAUGACGGCCUUCGGGUUGUAAACUCCUUUCGACCGCGAGGAAGCCACCUGGUUGGAAGGGUGGUGAUGGUAGUGGUAGAAGAAGCACCGGCUAACUACGUG